GUUUUUUUCCGUGACAAGCCAAUGAGUAAACAGUGGCGUUAGACGUGCGGUGGUAAAAUAACUUAAAUCUUCCAACGUCAGAUGAUGGGUAUAUGCAUCGCAUAUGAGAGCUUCGAGAGUAAAUAUCUGCGUAGCACUUGCUGAGUACUUACCAGUUACGUAUUCCUCGUCACCAACUUUGCUGCAAUCGGAGUGGGCAAGCGGGCAAGUACGUAGCAGCCACGUCAAAACUCCAGUGGCUUCGUCACUGGUCGAGACCACGACGAGAGAUCCUCGCGUCACAAUCAAAAUGGCCACUGUAUCACUACGCCACAGCAUAUAAUGGUGGAGCGAUAUUUCGCCGAACCUCUUCGCCACUUCAUGCCUUUUCUUCAUCCCACCCGAAGCGCAAAGUCGAUCAAUGAAAUUUGAAUAAAAGAAUGGCGUGUAUUUAUAAUAAUUCAUGUACUUUGAUAACAAUCAUCUCAUAAAACAUUCGUUGAUUGUUCAUAAAAAAUCGAAUUAAUAGCGGACUAAUUUCUCUCAGCGGAUGGUAACGCGGGAGUCCAAAUUAGCACAAUCACUAUGCUGUUGCCCAAUAGCGCAUAUGUAUUCAGCUUAUCAUUGAAAAAUACGUGCAUUUUUAAGGGGAAUAAGUAUCUAAUUUAAUGAAGACUAUUCCAAACUUUUGGCUGCAAGGGUUAUAAAUCGGAAAAAUGGCUUUGAUUGAGCAAUUAUUUGAAAUGAAGAACCUAAUUCUCUUCACGUAUCAUAGCGUUUGGAGUAAAGUGGUGAUUCUUUUAACUAACAACGAUAAGACUUUUGCAUCCGGCUUGGCGGUAUUUUUGCGUUUUUUGUCAUUGCGAUAAACAUUUUUUAUGUCAAAUAAUAUAUCGCCGACGCGCAUUGACCCUUGUCACCCUCACCCUCCCCCAACGUAUGUUAUGUACUUAAAAAGAGCAUGGUGGGGCAAGGCUGACGUCAUCCAAUGACGUCACGCAACAUUUAUAUGUAUACAUACUUUCAUAUGACCGUGAUUACUGCCUGGAAUAACGCACACAAUCAACAACGGCGAGGUAAUUUACAUCGUCGUCGCCAUCCAGUGAUAAAGCCUUUCUUAAUAAUUUUGAAAAUCAUUUGUCCCGCAUCAACAGGAUCGUGGAAAUUUCCACAGACAACACCAAAAACAAGCCAUUAUUAAUUGUAGAUAAAAUACGUCUAGUAAUUAAUACGUUCGGUAUUACUGAAAGGACUGCAUUAGAAUGAGAAUAAAAUUACAGACUCCUUGUUUGAAUAAUGAAUCAUGAGAGUGUUCACUCUCCGAAAGACUCGUAAUAGAUAAGAAUGUUGACUUUUCAAAAAUAUUGAGCGAUGAAAUCAAUCAAACAGAUCUGCAAGAAUUAUCAAUCAAUGAUGAUAUAUCGAAUCAUCAUACCUCUUGCAGCAAAAAUAAUGAGUAAUUCUACAAAAAAAUUAGAGUACGUUGGCUGAGAAGUGGGCACGUAAUAUAAAAUAUAAAACGAGCCUUGAAUAGGUGAAACACCACAAACACAACUGUGCGGCUGCGGCCCCAUGUCGUCAUCGGCAUUAAUUGUGGUCGUGAUUGUAAAAAUGUAUCAUAAAGCCCACCAUCUCUAUUCGUGAUAUUUCGCGGAUGUGCGAGUUCACAUUCUGCAUGGAACUGGAGAAU